CGCAGAUUAGUCAAAAAAGAUGAAGUUAGAAUUGAUUAGAGAAGCUUCUUUCAUUUUCCAUUAAAGGGACCAAAGAUAUGUGGCUAUAUUUGAUUUAGUUUCAUUCUGCAAUUGGCUUCACUUGUAAAUAGUCUUCGUCAAUUUCACACUCCAAUUAAUUAAUUAGUUAAAAUUGAUUGGAGACAAAAACCAUUUAUCUCAUUUUAAUGGGAAAUGAGGGAAGCUUAUCUUAUCAAUUCUAACUUCAUUUUUUUGACUGGUCUGUGCAUGUCAUGAUUUUACCACCAGAAUGUAAGCUUCAAAUGUAAUUCGCAAUUUGGUAAAUCAAUUCAUUCCUAUUAUUCUUUGUCUUUACCACAUUCGAUUAUAGAGAUACAGAGAUAUACUAGAAUUAAUUUUCUAUGCAAAAUCAAACAUAGCAUGAAAAAGAAUAGAUUUUCUUGCUUAGUUUGAGACGACAUUAGUUUU
rnacentral:lncRNA from 1 species